GCAAUGAGAUGGCUCAGUUGGCAGAGCAUGAGACUCUUAAUCUGAGGGUUGUGGGUUCGAGUCCCACAUUCGGCA